rnacentral:rRNA from 1 species
AUACGGAGGAUCCGAGCGUUAUCCGGAUUUAUUGGGUUUAAAGGGAGCGUAGGCGGACAGUUAAGUCAGUUGUGAAAGUUUGCGGCUCAACCGUAAAAUUGCAGUUGAUACUGGCUGUCUUGAGUACAGUAGAGGUGGGCGGAAUUCGUGGUGUAGCGGUGAAAUGCUUAGAUAUCACGAAGAACUCCGAUUGCGAAGGCAGCUCGCUGGACUGCAACUGACACUGAUGCUCGAAAGUGUGGGUAUCAAACAGGAUUAGAUACCCUGGUAGUCCACACAGUAAACGAUGAAUACUCGCUGUUUGCGAUAUACAGUAAGCGGCCAAGCGAAAGCAUUAAGUAUUCCACCUGGGGAGUACGCCGGCAACGGUGAAACUCAAAGGAAUUGACGGGG